GCCUCCUUAGCUCAGCUGGUAGAGCACUGCUCUUGUAAAGCAGGGGUCGUCGGUUCGAGCCCGACAGGGGGCU
rnacentral:tRNA from 1 species